AGCGAACGCUGGCGGCGUGCUUAACACAUGCAAGUCGAGCGAAGGUGUUUCAAGGGUAACCUUGAGAUACACUUAGCGGCGGACGGGUGAGUAAUACGUGGAUAACUUACCUCUAGGCCUGGGAUAACCCCGGGAAACUGGGGCUAAUACCUGAUAAGACCACAUUGUCUACGGACAAAGGGGUAAAAGGUGGCUGUGCAAACAGCUAUCGCCAAAAGAUAGGUUCACGUCCCAUCAGGCAGUGGUGAGGUAAUGGCUCACCAAACCAAAGACGGGUAGCCGGCCUUGGCGGGUGAACGGCCACACGGGGACUGAGACACGGCCCCGACUCCUACGGGAGGCAGCAGUGGGGAAUAUUGGCAAUGGGCGGCAAGCCUGACCCAGCGACGUCGCGUUGGGGAAGAAGGCC
rnacentral:rRNA from 1 species